rnacentral:rRNA from 1 species
GACGAACGCUGGCGGCGUGCCUAAUACAUGCAAGUCGAGCGGAUGACGGAGGAGCUUGCUCCUCCUGAUUCAGCGGCGGACGGGUGAGUAACACGUGGGCAACCUGCCCUGUAGAUUGGGAUAACUCCGGGAAACCGGGGCUAAUACCGAAUAAUCCUUCGGACCUCAUGGUCCGAUGUUGAAAGACGGCUCCGGCUGUCACUACAGUCUGGGCCCGCGGCGCAUUAGCUAGUUGGUGAGGUAACGGCUCACCAAGGCGACGAUGCGUAGCCGACCUGAGAGGGUGAUCGGCCACACUGGGACUGAGACACGGCCCAGACUCCUACGGGAGGCAGCAGUAGGGAAUCUUCCACAAUGGACGAAAGUCUGAUGGAGCAACGCCGCGUGAGUGAAGAAGGUUCUCGGAUCGUAAAACUCUGUUGUGAGGGAAGAACAAGUACCGGAGUAACUGCCGGUACCUUGACGGUACCUCAUUAGAAAGCCACGGCUAACUACGUGCCAGCCGCCGCAGUAA